UUCCCUACGGGGGGCAGCAGUAGGGAAUUUUCGUCAAUGGGGGGAACCCUGAACGAGCAAUGCCGCGUGAGUGAAGAAGGUCUUCGGAUCGUAAAGCUCUGUUGUAAGAGAAAAACGGGUAUCAUAGGGAAUGAUGAUAUCGUGAUGGUAUCUUACCAGAAAGCCACGGCUAACUACGUGCCAGCAGCCGCGGUAAUACGUAGGUGGCAAGCGUUAUCCGGAAUGAUUGGGCGUAAAGGGUGCGUAGGCGGCAAAAUAAGUCUGAAGUAAAAGGCUUUGGCUCAACCAACGUAAGCUUGGAGACG
rnacentral:rRNA from 1 species